rnacentral:rRNA from 1 species
UACAGAGGGUGCAAACGUUGUUCGGAAUUACUGGGCGUAAAGCGCGUGCAGGCGGCCUUGCAAGUCGGACGUGAAAUCCCACGGCUCAACCGUGGAAGUGCAUUCGAAACUGCGAGGCUGGAGUCCUGGAGAGGAAAGUGGAAUACUCGGUGUAGAGGUGAAAUUCGUAGAUAUCGAGUGGAACACCGGUGUCGAAGGCGGCUUUCUGGACAGGUACUGACGCUGAGACGCGAAAGCGUGGGGAGCAAACAGG